GAUGAACGCUGGCGGCGUGCCUAAUACAUGCAAGUCGAGCGAACGGACGAGAAGCUUGCUUCUCUGAUGUUAGCGGCGGACGGGUGAGUAACACGUGGAUAACCUACCUAUAAGACUGGGAUAACUUCGGGAAACCGUAGCUAAUACCGGAUAAUAUUUUGAACCGCAUGGUUCAAGAGUGAAAGACGGUCUUGCUGUCACUUAUAGAUGGAUCCGCGCUGCAUUAGCUAGUUGGUAAGGUAACGGCUUACCAGGGCAACGAUGCAUAGCCGACCUGAGAGGGUGAUCGGCCACACUGGAACUGAGACACGGUCCAGACUCCUACGGGAGGCAGCAGUAGGGAAUCUUCCGCAAUGGGCGAAAGCCUGACGGAGCAACGCCGCGUGAGUGAUGAAGGUCUUCGGAUCGUAAAACUCUGUUAUUAGGGAAGAACAUAUGUGUAAGUAACUGUGCACAUCUUGACGGUACCUAAUCAGAAAGCCACGGCUAACUACGUG
rnacentral:rRNA from 1 species